AUGCUUAGGGCUCUUUUGAAGAAGAACUUAAAAAUGUGGGAAGAAUGUCUGCCACAUGUAGAGUUUGCUUAUAAUCGUUCCGUUCAUUCCACCACAAAAUUAUGCCCUUUUGAGAUUGUUUAUGGAUUUAUACCUCGUGCACCAAUUGAUUUAUUACCUAUUCCAUCUUCGGAGAAGGUAAACCUUGAUGCUAAAGAACGUGCUGAAUUAGUAUUAAAAAUGCAUGAGAUGACUAAGAAAAAUAUUGAACGCAUGAAUGCCAAAUAUAAACUUGCUGGUAGUCAGGGAAGGAAAAGUGUUGUUUUUGAACCAGGUGAUUUAGUAUAG
rnacentral:rRNA from 1 species